CUAUACUUUCUAAUAGGCUUUUUUUUCUUUCAGAUACGCUGGUGAAAAGCAGUCCAUCUGUUAUUUCACAGGGACAGGAAGUGAUAUUAAUCUGUUCAACUAAAUGCACUCUGAACAACAAACAUACUUACAUCUGGUACAAGAACAGACGACAGGUAACAGAUGGAUUCUCUAAAGACAACAAGCUGUACCUGGACUCAGUCAGCGAUGAAGAGCUUCACCAGUAUUCCUGUGCUGUAGGAGGCCCAGUAAUCCAGAUACCUGCGUCAAACACAGCUUUACUGAGCUCUGUAAUCAUACUCUCCGUGUUUCUGAUUCUUGCACUCGUAGGAGUCCUGUGGUACAGGAGGAGAAAGACUAAUUCAUCUCGAAAACAUGAGGAUAAUAACCGGCGUGUAGAGUCGGGUUCUGCUGCACUGGAUGAUAAUGCUGCAGCCUUGUCUACGGUUCCCACAGAAGUUCACACUAAUGAUCAGGAUGUUCAUUAUUCAGCUAUUAAUUUCAAGAAGUCUCACACAGAGAACACAUCAUCAGCUCCUACUGUGGUACACUCAGCCACGGAUGAUGUUCAUUAUGCUGCGGUGAAGUUCAGCUGAACCUUAGCUAAGCUCCAGCUUAAAAUAGACCUGUACAGUACUGAACAACCCAACUGUUGCUGUCAGCUGUAUUGUGACCAAGCUUUUGCUCAUAUCACAUGUCUAUGAAUGUCCUGUAUAUUUGCAAAGUUUUAC